GACAGAGGCCUCAAGCGUUAGGCGGAAUCACUGGGCUUAAAGCGUGUGUAGGCGGACGCCUAAGUACCUUGUGAAAUCCCACGGCUCACCCGUGGAACGGCUGGGUAUACUGGGCGUCUUGGGCCAACUAGGGGCAACUGGAACAAGCGGUGGAGCGGUGAAAUGCGUUGAUAUCGGAAGGAACGCCGGUGGCGAAAGCGACGGGCUGGCCCUCCACUGACGCUGAGGCGCGAAAGCCAGGGGAGCGAACGGG
rnacentral:rRNA from 1 species